rnacentral:rRNA from 1 species
CAUGCAAGUCGAACGGGCCCUUCGGGGUCAGUGGCAGACGGGUGAGUAACGCGUGGGAACGUGCCCAUCGGUUCGGAAUAACCCAGGGAAACUUGGGCUAAUACCGGAUACGUCCUUUUUGGAGAAAGAUUUAUCGCCGAUGGAUCGGCCCGCGUCUGAUUAGCUAGUUGGUGGGGUAAUGGCCCACCAAGGCGACGAUCAGUAGCUGGUCUGAGAGGAUGAUCAGCCACACUGGGACUGAGACACGGCCCAGACUCCUACGGGAGGCAGCAGUGGGGAAUAUUGGACAAUGGGCGCAAGCCUGAUCCAGCCAUGCCGCGUGAGUGAUGAAGGCCCUAGGGUUGUAAAGCUCUUUCACCCACGACGAUAAUGACGGUAGUGGGAGAAGAAGCCCCGGCUAACUUCGUGCCAGCAGCCGCGGUAAUACGAAGGGGGCUAGCGUUGCUCGGAAUCACUGGGCGUAAAGGGCGCGUAGGCGGACCUUUAAGUCAGGGGUGAAAGCCUGUGGCUCAACCACAGAAUUGCCUUUGAUACUGAGGGUCUCGAGACCGGAAGAGGUUGGUGGAACUGCGAGUGUAGAGGUGAAAUUCGUAGAUAUUCGCAAGAACACCAGUGGCGAAAGCGGCCAACUGGUCCGGUUCUGACGCUGA